rnacentral:rRNA from 1 species
CCAAUAGCGUAUAUUAAAGUUGUUGCAGUUAAAAAGCUCGUAGUUGAAUUUCGGGAUUGACGUAAUGGUCAUGCCUUAAGGGGUAUGAACUGUUACUGUUGAUUUCUCACCUUCUGGAGAAACUUGAUGUCCUUUAUUGGGUGUCUUGCGGAUCCAGGACCUUUACCUUGAAAAAAUUAGAGUGUUUAAAGCAAGCUUAUUUGCCCGAUUCCAUAACAAGGGAUUAUUAGAAUAGGACGGCAUGAUUCUAUUUUGUUGGUUUCUAGGAUCACCGUAAUGAUUAAUAGGGAUAGUUGGGGGCAUUAGUAUUCAAUUGUCAGAGGUGAAAUUCUUGGAUUUAUUGAAGACUAACUACUGCGAAAGCAUUUGCCAAGGAUGUUUUCAUUAAUCAAGAACGAAAGUUAGGGGAUCGAAGACGAUCAGAUACCGUCGUAGUCUUAACCAUAAACUAUGCCGACUAGGAAUCAGACGAUGUUAAUUUUUUAAUGACUCGUUUGGCACCUUACG